rnacentral:rRNA from 1 species
GACGAACGCUGGCGGCGUGCUUAACACAUGCAAGUCGAACGGAAAGGCCUCUUUCGGGUGGUCCUCGAGUGGCGAACGGGUGAGUAACACGUGAGUAACCUGCCCUUUACUUUGGGAUAACUUCAGGAAACUGGGGCUAAUACCGGAUAGGAGCUCCUGCUGCCUGGUGGGGGUUGGAAAGUUUCGGCGGUUGGGGAUGGACUCGCGGCUUAUCAGCUUGUUGUUGGGGUAGUGGCUUACCAAGGCUUUGACGGGUAGCCGGCCUGAGUGGGUGAGCGGCGACAUUGAGACUGAGAUAAGGCCCAGACUGGUAAGGGAGGCAGAAGUGGGGAAUAUUGCACAAUGGGUGGAGGCUUGAUGCAGAAAGGCCGUGGGUGGGAUGACGGUCUUCUGGGUGUAGAACGCUUUCGCUCAUGACGAAGCUUUGUGUGACGGUAGUGAGUAAAGAAGCACCGGCUAACUACGUG